rnacentral:rRNA from 1 species
AUUGAACGCUGGCGGCAGGCCUAACACAUGCAAGUCGAACGAGUGGCGGACGGGUGAGUAAUGUCUGGGAAACUGCCCGAUGGAGGGGGAUAACUACUGGAAACGGUAGCUAAUACCGCAUACCAUCGGAUGUGCCCAGAUGGGAUUAGCUCGGAGGUGGGGUAAAGGGUCACCUAGGCGCCGAUCCCUAGCUGGUCUGAGAGGAUGACCAGCCACACUGGAACUGAGACACGGUCCAGAAUCCUAAGGGAGGCAGCAGUGGGGAAGAUUGCACAAUGGGCGCAAGCCUGAUGCAGCCAUGCCGCGUGUAUGAAGAAGGCCCUCGGGGUGUAAAGGACUUUCAGCGGGGAGGCGUUACCCGCAGAAGAAGCACCGGCCAACUCCGUGCCAGCCGCCGCGGUAAUUC